rnacentral:rRNA from 1 species
UUCCUGUCCAACGUUAAUCGGGGCAGGGUGAGUCGACCCCUAAGGCGAGGCCGAAAGGCGUAGUCGAUGGGAAACAGGUUAAUAUUCCUGUACUUGGUGUUACUGCGAAGGGGGGACGGAGAAGGCUAUGUUGGCCGGGCGACGGUUGUCCCGGUUUAAGCGUGUAGGCUGGUUUUCCAGGCAAAUCCGGAAAAUCAAGGCUGAGGCGUGAUGACGAGGCACUACGGUGCUGAAGCAACAAAUGCCCUGCUUCCAGGAAAAGCCUCUAAGCAUCAGGUAACAUCAAAUCGUACCCCAAACCGACACAGGUGGUCAGGUAGAGAAUACCAAGGCGCUUGAGAGAACUCGGGUGAAGGAACUAGGCAAAAUGGUGCCGUAACUUCGGGAGAA